rnacentral:rRNA from 1 species
UGGGGAAUAUUGCACAAUGGGCGCAAGCCUGAUGCAGCCAUGCCGCGUGUAUGAAGAAGGCCUUCGGGUUGUAAAGUACUUUCAGCGGGGAGGAAGGGAGUAAAGUUAAUACCUUUGCUCAUUGACGUUACCCGCAGAAGAAGCACCGGCUAACUCCGUGCCAGCAGCCGCGGUAAUACGGAGGGUGCAAGCGUUAAUCGGAAUUACUGGGCGUAAAGCGCACGCAGGCGGUUGAUUGAGUCAGAUGUGAAAUCCCCGGGCUUAACCCGGGAAUUGCAUCUGAUAAUGGUCAGCGAGAGUCUUGUAGAGGGGGGUAGAAUUCCAUGUGUAGCGGUGAAAUGCGUAGAGAUGUGGAGGAAUACCGGUGGCGAAGGCGGCCCCCUGGACGAAGACUGACGCUCAGGUGCGAAAGCGUGGGGAGCAAACAGG